rnacentral:rRNA from 1 species
UAGGGAAUCUUCCGCAAUGGACGCAAGUCUGACGGAGCAACGCCGCGUGAGUGAAGAAGGAUUUCGGUUCGUAAAACUCUGUUGUUAGAGAAGAACAGCGCAUAGAGUAACUGUUAUGCGUGUGACGGUAUCUAACCAGAAAGCAACGGCUAACUACGUGCCAGCAGCCGCGGUAAUACGUAGGUGGCAAGCGUUGUCCGGAUUUAUUGGGCGUAAAGCGAGCGCAGGCGGUCAAUUAAGUCUGAUGUGAAAGCCCCCGGCUCAACCGGGGAGGGUCAUUUGAAACUGGUUGACUUGAGUGCAGAAGAGGAGAGUGGAAUUCCCUGUGUAGCGGUGAAAUUCGUAGAUAUAUGGAGGAACACCAGUGGCGAAGGCGACUCUCUGGUCUGUAACUGACGCUGAGGCUCGAAAGCGUGGGUAGCAAACAGG